rnacentral:rRNA from 1 species
AGCAGCCGCGGUAAUUCCAGCUUCAAUAGCGUAUAUUAAAGUUGUUGCAGUUAAAAGCUCGUAGUUGAAUUUCGGGAUCAAGGAAUCGGUCAUGCCUCGGUAUGUACUGGUUUUAUUGGUUCUCACCUUCUAAAGAACCAUAAUGUCAUUUAUUUGGUGUUAUGGGGAAUUAGGACUGUUACCUUGAAAAAAUUAGAGUGUUAAAGCAAGCUUACGCUUGAAUACAUUAGCAUGGAAUAAUGAAAUAGGACGUUCGAUCCUAUUUUGUUGGUUUCUAGGAUUGACGUAAUGAUUAAUAGGGAUAGUUGGGGGCAUUAGUAUUCAAUUGUCAGAGGUGAAAUUCUUGGAUUUAUUGAAGACUAACUACUGCGAAAAGCAUUUGCCAAGGAUGUUUUCAUUAAUCAAGAACGAAGUUAGGGGAUCGAAGACGAUCAGAUACCGUCGUAGUCUUAACCAUAAAAUUAUGCCGCUAGGGAUCGGACGCAGUUAAUUUAUAAUGACGUGUUCGGCACCUUACGGG